GAUGAAGAACGCAGCGAAAUGCGAUAAGUAAUGUGAAUUGCAGAAUUCAGUGAAUCAUCGAAUCUUUGAACGCACCUUGCGCUCUUUGGUAUUCCGAAGAGCAUGCUUGUUUGAGUGUCAUGAAAAUAUCAACCUUGACUUGGGUUUUGUGCUCUAGUCUCGGCUUGGAAUUGGGUGCUUGCCGCUUUUACGAGCGGCUCACCUUAAAUGUAUUAGCUGGAUCUGUCUUUGAGACUUGGUUUGACUUGGCGUAAUAAGUAUUUCGCUAAGGACAUUCUUCGGAGUGGCCUCGUUUCUAGGACGCUUGUCCGCUUUCCAAUACAAGUUCCACCUCGUGGACAUGACUUUUUAUUAUCUGGCCUCAAAUCAGGUAGGACUACCCGCUGAACUUAAGCAUAUCAAUAAGCGGGGGA
rnacentral:misc_RNA from 1 species